rnacentral:ncRNA from 1 species
ACGGGUGCGGGAGGCGAUGACACGCGGCUCGCAUGACGGCCGCCUGAGCCGCGCCGAGCCACUGGCGAGACCGAGCCGCUCUGAU